GUGCUCCCUUCAGCAGCAUAUAUACUAAAAUUGGAACGAUACAGAGAUUAGCAUGGCUCUGAGCAAGGAUGACACGCAAAUUCGUGAAGCGUUUCAUAUUUUU
ensembl:snRNA U6 U6 spliceosomal RNA